GCCGAAGAAGCGAGAGUGACGGUAGGCGCAGAAGAAGCACCGGCUAACUACGUGCCAGCAGCCGCGGUAAUACGUAGGGUGCGAGCGUUGUCCGGAAUUAUUGGGCGUAAAGAGCUUGUAGGCGGUUUGUCGCGUCUGCUGUGAAAACCCAGGGCUUAACCCUGGGCCUGCAGUGGGUACGGGCAGACUAGAGUGUGGUAGGGGAGACUGGAAUUCCUGGUGUAGCGGUGAAAUGCGCAGAUAUCAGGAGGAACACCGAUGGCGAAGGCAGGUCUCUGGGCCACUACUGACGCUGAGAAGCGAAAGCAUGGGGAGCGAACAGGAUUAGAUACCCUGGUAGUCCAUGCCGUAAACGUUGGGCGCUAGGUGUGGGACUCAUUCCACGAGUUCCGUGCCGCAGCUAACGCAUUAAGCGCCCCGCCUGGGGAGUACGGCCGCAAGGCUAAAACUCAAAGGAAUUGACGGGGGCCCGCACAAGCGGCGGAGCAUGCGGAUUAAUUCGAUGCAACGCGAAGAACCUUACCAAGGCUUGACAUAUACCGGAAACAUCUGGAGACAGGUGCCCCGCAAGGUCGGUAUACAGGUGGUGCAUGGUUGUCGUCAGCUCGUGUCGUGAGAUG
rnacentral:rRNA from 1 species